CACAAUUUACAACAUGUUUAAAUUAUUAGCAUUAUUAGUUGUUGUGGCCGGGUCACAUAAAUGUACCCCCGGAUUUUAGUAAUUAAACGUCACAACUACGUCACAGGAGUUGUACCCGUAGCUAUGACAAUUAUUUAAUUAACGCGGCUAAAGCAAGCUACGAAAGUUCAAGGCAUUUUCUAUACUAAAUUUAUUUAUGUGACGACCAUAGGUUAUGGAUUUUAUUUGCGUAUGGUGCACCACAAUUCAUUUUUGAAAGAAAAGAUUUGUAUUUUUCUCUAGGGCAAACUAAAGAUGCUCCUACUUUAAUCUAAUUUAAAAUUAGGUAUUGCAACCACGUCACGGGAACCGUACCCGUAGUUUUAAUAAUUUUAAUUGCGUACCUAAAGAAAACUACUGUUGAAUUAUUUUCCUAGUCUUUGAGAUUAUAUGAGGCCAAGUAUGAGCAAUAUAAUAUACUUCAAACUAAAUUAAAACACCUUUCAUAAAAAUCUUGUAUACUAUACAACAACAAUGACAACCCAAUGUAUUCUCAUAAGUGGGGUUGAAGGGUAUUGAUGUAUGUAGCAUUACCCCUACUCUAGAAGGACAGAGAGACUGCUUCCGAUAGACCCUAGGCUAAAGAAAAGAUGGAAGAAGCACUGAUAUCAAGUAAUAACCAUACAAGAUAUUUGAUAAUAACAGACUAAGGCUAAAAGGGAGGAAACACGAUAUAUUAUGGGCCAAAAUUGUUGUUUAUACGACUGAAUCCAAUAAGUCAUAGUCGUCCAUCAGGAAAAAUGAAAUCAAGUGACAUAUUUAACAAUUCAAAAAAAAAUGUUACACUCCAGAUGCAUUCAAUUUAACCACACUAAAAAAACACUUUCUUGGAUAUACGAUACUACACGACUACAAACUUGAAGUACUAAGCAAAAAUCUUUAUAGCUAACAAUUGCAGAUGUAGCUUUCCACAAUAAAAUCAAUAACAUGCUCAUUAAAAUGUGACAUUUUAUUCAACUUAAAACCAUUCAAAAAAAACAUCACAGUGGUUUAACAUAUAAAAUGAACAAGAUUUACAUCCUAUUCUUGAAUCAAUUUCAGAAUAUACCAAAUCCAUUUCAGGAUUAAAUUUAACAUAACAAGUGAGCUUAAAUAUGGAAUAUUGGUAAGAGCUUACCUCAAUAGAGAUAUACCAAAAGAUUUCUCACACCAGACCCAAAAGAACAAUACGACAACUUCCGAAUAAAAGCUAACAGAAGAAGUAAGGAAACCAGCCACGGAUCUCAGCGAAAUUGCAACAAAGCAGCAGCAAUCCCACACGUCCAACAGCUUUAAAAAUCCAGCAAAGUAAAAAGUAGCUUUGAACAAUGGCUGGGAUCCUUUGGUCUUCUUUUUUCGAAUUUUUCAGAUCUGGGUCCAAAUGUUUGAAUCAGAAAACUGUUUCCCAUCUCCGUGAGGGGAUGAGAGGGAGUACUUAUGUGUGCAUCUAUGUCAAUGAGCGAGAGAGGUGAGAAUUUCUAAGUGUAAGAGUCAGGUUAAGGUUUGUGGGUAAAGAAAGAAGAAGAAGCAGGGGAAACGGCGUUCUUCGUUUUAGAAGAGAAAGGGAUCUCAAUGUUAUUUUUUGUCUAGUAUUUUAUUUUAUCAGAUAAGGGUAAGGGAAAUGGGCUUGGGUUGUGUGGGAAUUGGGUAAAAGCAUUUGGGCCAUUUGCAUUUGCUCUUUGGGGUAGCCCAAUAUAAAAAAAC
rnacentral:lncRNA from 1 species